rnacentral:rRNA from 1 species
UACGUAGGCAGCAAGCGUUGUUCGGAGUUACUGGGCGUAAAGGGUGUGUAGGCGGUUCUUUAAGUUUGGUGUGAAAUCUCCCGGCUCAACUGGGAGGGUGCGCCGAAUACUGAGGGACUAGAGUACGGGAGAGGAAAGUGGAAUUCCUGGUGUAGCGGUGAAAUGCGUAGAUAUCAGGAGGAACAACGGUGGUGUAGACGGCUUUCUGGACCGUAACUGACGCUGAGACACGAAAGCGUGGGUAGCAAACAGG